rnacentral:lncRNA from 1 species
AUGUUUUGUAGUUCUCCNNNNNNNNNNNNNNNNNNNNNNNNNNNNCCACCACCAUCACCACCAAACAGCCUAGCCCUUCGCACCGUUGAAGCCGUGGCUGCAAGGCAAAACCUAUCUGUCCUGAUGAGCUUGGGGUGGAAUAAAGCCUUUGAAAAUCAGAAAUGUUUACUGAGGGAAACUCUGUUACUGAAGCCCAGUGGAAUGGUGACAUCAGGAGAGACCCUGCUGUCUCUGAUCUUCAAGUGCUUUGCAAGCAUGAUAUCAGCAGCAACAGACUGCACUGAUGCCUUCCUUGACAGCUCAGCCUUGCACAAAAAAACAGUGCCAUUUGUGGCUGCAAAUUCCAGCUUCCCUGCAUGGAGUCCUCAAGGGCUCAGCACCUCCCAUGAGCUUGGCCGCAUACAUGGAAAUGAGUUGGUCAGGAGAGGGGAGGCAAAGGCUGCUGAAGUCCUUCUGCAGAUAACACCCUUCAGUGCACUGAUGUGCACAGAGUCACCCCAGAAUGCAUACUGGCAGAAGACUCCUGGGCCAAGAAGACCGCAUGAGCAAAGCGGAAUAAGAGACAAUGAGAGAUGUGUGUCUCAGCAAGACUUCCACAGAGAAGCCUCAACAUGUGUGCAAGUGUGGUUUUGGACAACCAUAAAUAGAAACCAUACAGAUCUCCAUCUCUAG